rnacentral:rRNA from 1 species
AUUGAACGCUGGCGGCAGGCCUAACACAUGCAAGUCGAGCGAGUGGCGGACGGGUGAGUAAUGUCUGGGAAACUGCCCGAUGGAGGGGGAUAACUACUGGAAACGGUAGCUAAUACCGCAUACCAUCGGAUGUGCCCAGAUUGGAUUAGCUAGUAGGGGGGGUAACGGCUCACCGAGGCGACGAUCCCUAGCUGGUCUGAGAGUAUGACCAGCCACACUGGAACUGAGACACGGUCCAGACUCCUACGGGAGGCAGCAGUGGGUAAUAUUGCACAAUGGGCGCAAGACUGAUGCAGCCAUGCCGCGUGUAUGAAGAAGGCCUUCGGGGUGUAAAGUACUUUCAGCGGGGAGGCGUUACCCGCAGAAGAAGCACCGGCUAACUCCGUGCCAGCAGCAGCGGUAAUAC